AUUGAACGCUGGCGGCAGGCCUAACACAUGCAAGUCGAGCGGUAGAGAGAAGCUUGCUUCUCUUGAGAGCGGCGGACGGGUGAGUAAUACCUAGGAAUCUGCCUGAUAGUGGGGGAUAACGUUCGGAAACGGACGCUAAUACCGCAUACGUCCUACGGGAGAAAGCAGGGGACCUUCGGGCCUUGCGCUAUAAGAUGAGCCUAGGUCGGAUUAGCUAGUUGGUGAGGUAAUGGCUCACCAAGGCUACGAUCCGUAACUGGUCUGAGAGGAUGAUCAGUCACACUGGAACUGAGACACGGUCCAGACUCCUACGGGAGGCAGCAGUGGGGAAUAUUGGACAAUGGGCGAAAGCCUGAUCCAGCCAUGCCGCGUGUGUGAAGAAGGUCUUCGGAUCGUAAAGCACUUUAAGUUGGGAGGAAGGGCAUUAACCUAAUACGUUAGUGUCUUGACGUUACCGACAGAAUAAGACACCGGCUAACUCUGUACCAGC
rnacentral:rRNA from 1 species